GACGAACGCUGGCGGCGUGCUUAACACAUGCAAGUCGAACGGAAAGGCCCUGCUUUUGUGGGGUGCUCGAGUGGCGAACGGGUGAGUAACACGUGAGUAACCUGCCCUUGACUUUGGGAUAACUUCAGGAAACUGGGGCUAAUACCGGAUAGGAGCUCCUGCUGCAUGGUGGGGGUUGGAAAGUUUCGGCGGUUGGGGAUGGACUCGCGGCUUAUCAGCUUGUUGGUGGGGUAGUGGCUUACCAAGGCUUUGACGGGUAGCUGGCCUGAGAGGGUGACCGGCCACAUUGGGACUGAGAUACGGCCCAGACUCCUACGGGAGGCAGCAGUGGGGAAUAUUGCACAAUGGGCGGAAGCCUGAUGCAGCAACGCCGCGUGCGGGAUGACGGCCUUCGGGUUGUAAACCGCUUUCGCCUGUGACGAAGCGUGAGUGGCGGUAAUGGGUAAAGAAGCACCGGCUAACUACGUG
rnacentral:rRNA from 1 species